rnacentral:rRNA from 1 species
UACGUAGGGGGCAAGCGUUGUCCGGAAUUAUUGGGCGUAAAGAGCUCGUAGGCGGUUCAGUAAGUCGGGUGUGAAAACUCUGGGCUCAACCCAGAGACGCCACCCGAUACUGCUGUGACUUGAGUACGGUAGGGGAGUGGGGAAUUCCUGGUGUAGCGGUGAAAUGCGCAGAUAUCAGGAGGAACACCAGUGGCGAAGGCGCCACUCUGGGCCGUAACUGACGCUGAGGAGCGAAAGCGUGGGUAGCAAAUGGG